GACGCAAGUCUGAUGGAGCAACGCCGCGUGAGUGAAGAAGGGUUUCGGCUCGUAAAGCUCUGUUGGUAGUGAAGAAAGAUAGAGGUAGCAACUGGCCUUUAUUUGACGGUAAUUACUUAGAAAGUCACGGCUAACUACGUGCCAGCAGCCGCGGUAAUACGUAGGUGGCAAGCGUUGUCCGGAUUUAUUGGGCGUAAAGCGAGUGCAGGCGGUUCAAUAAGUCUGAUGUGAAAGCCUUCGGCUCAACCGGAGAAUUGCAUCAGAAACUGUUGAACUUGAGUGCAGAAGAGGAGAGUGGAACUCCAUGUGUAGCGGUGGAAUGCGUAGAUAUAUGGAAGAACACCAGUGGCGAAGGCGGCUCUCUGGUCUGCAACUGACGCUGAGGCUCGAAAGCAUGGGUAGCGAACAGGAUUAGAUACCCUGGUAGUCCAUGCCGUAAACGAUGAGUGCUAAGUGUUGGGAGGUUUCCGCCUCUCAGUGCUGCAGCUAACGCAUUAAGCACUCCGCCUGGGGAGUACGACCGCAAGGUUGAAACUCAAAGGAAUUGACGGGGGCCCGCACAAGCGGUGGAGCAUGUGGUUUAAUUCGAAGCAACGCGAAGAACCUUACCAGGUCUUGAC
rnacentral:rRNA from 1 species